UAUUUGUUUUCACAUCAAAGCCUUUUCUAAAGCGGUGUCAAAUUGUCUAAGGGAAACUUAUGCAUCAAAGGAAAGUGCUAAUGAAUGGAAACAUCAUUUAAUAAAUAAAGGAAAAGUGAUUCAAACAAAUCAACAGCUAAUUCAAUACUUUCAAAGACAAACUAAGUUGCAACAAUUUUCACCUUAGGGUUUGAUGGAUUUAAUGCAGCGAGUUCGCUUAGUAAUCAGGAAGCAACAAAGUAUGUCAACUCAAGUAGCUGGUUUGAUGUCAAAAACAUCUUUGAUUGUCUUUGUCAUUCCACAAAAUAGAUUGUUAAUACAUGUCAAUGGUAUUGAACAAUAUCCUGUAAAGAUUGUUUUCAAAGAUAAUUAUGAAUCACUAACUCAUGGUAAAAUAUAUGCUAGAGUAUGGUAGGGGUAGAGGGAAUUUCUAGUGGAGGAGUGAAAUGAAUUGAGAUAGGAAAGAACACCAACAAUGAAAUCAUCUCUUCUUGGUUAACAGUAACACUGAGAGAAGAAAGCUAGGGUAAUGAAUGGGAUUAGAUACCCCAAUAGUCCUAGCCAUAAGCGAUGGAUACUAAGUGUUAUGUGUAUCGACUUGUGCAAUGGUGUAGAUAACGCAUUACAUAUCCUAUGUGGGGAGUACAAUCACAAGAGUGAAACUCAAAUGAAUUGAUGGGGGUCUACAAAAGAGGUGGUGCAUGUCGUUGAAUUUGAUGCAAAGGGAAGAACCUUACCAAGGAUUGGCAUGUCGUGAAUCAUCCUUAAAGAGAGGAGUGCCUUCAAAAACACAGACAUAAGUGGUGCAUAGUCGUUGUCAUCUCGUGUUAUAAGAUGUUUGGUUAAGUCCCACAACAAGCACAACUCUCAUGUUUAAUUUCCAACAUUGAGUUCGGAACCCUGAACAUAUUUCCAGUGAUAAGCCAAAGAAAGGUGAGGAUGACAUCAGGGCCUCAUGCCCCUUACACCCUAGCCGACACACAUGCUACAAUGACCAGGACAAUGGGUUAUGACUCUGUGAGGGCGAGCUAACCUCAAAAUGUUGGCCUCAAUUUGGAUUGCAGGCUACAACUCGCUUAUAUGAAGCCAAAAUUGUUACUAAUUGUCAGCUAACCACAUGGCGGUGAAUUUUCUCCCAACCCUUGUACACACCGCCUGUCAUACUAUGAGAUUUGGCCAUUAUCCAAUUCAUCACCUUAAUUGUAAAGUGGGUGAUGCCAGAGUCUAGAAUAGCAACUAGAGUGAAUUCAUAACAAGGUAGUCAUAUAGGAAGGUGUGGCUA
rnacentral:rRNA from 1 species